AACGAACGCUGGCGGCGUGCCUAACACAUGCAAGUCGAGCGGGAAAGUUCCCUUCGGGGGGCGAGUACAGCGGCGAACGGGUGAGUAACACGUAGGUAACCUACCUUGGAGACUGGGAUAACCUGCCGAAAGGCGGGCUAAUACCAGAUAAGACCACGAGAGCUGCGGCUCUUGGGGCAAAAGAUGGCCUCUGCUUGCAUGCUAUCACUCCGGGAUGGGCCUGCGCGCCAUUAGCUAGUUGGUGAGGUGAUGGCUCACCAAGGCUGAGAUGGCUAGCUGGUCUGAGAGGAUGGCCAGCCACACUGGGACUGAGACACGGCCCAGACUCCUACGGGAGCAGCAGUGGGAAUAUUGCGCAAGUGGGACGAAAGCCUGACGCAGCGACGCCGCGUGGGUGAUGAA
rnacentral:rRNA from 1 species